rnacentral:rRNA from 1 species
GACGAACGCUGGCGGCGUGGAUUAGGCAUGCAAGUCGAACGGUAUCAUCCUUUCGGGGGUGAGAGAGUGGCGAACUGGUGAGUAACACGUAGGUUAUCUACCCUCAAGACGGGGACAACCCAGGGAAACUUGGGCUAAUACCGGAUGUGAGCAACUUUUAGUUGUUUGAAAGGUGGCGUAAGCUGUCGCUUGGGGAUGAGCCUGCGUCCUAUUAGUUAGUUGGUGAGGUAACGGCUCACCUAGGCAAUGAUAGGUAGGCGGCCUUAACGGGUGGUCGCCCACACUGGGAUUGAGAUACGGCCCAGACUCCUACGGGAGGCAGCAGUCGAGAAUAGUCUACAAUGGUCGGAAGACUGAUAGUGCGACGCCGCGUGAACGAUGAAUCCCUUCGGGGUGUAAAGUUCUUUUAUAUGUGAGCAGUGCUUCUUAUAUUAACAGUAUGGGGAGAGAGAUAUUAGCAUAUGAAUAAGCAACGGCUAACUCCGUGCCAGCAGCCGCGGUAAACUCGU